rnacentral:lncRNA from 1 species
GAGAAGGGUGAGCAGAGGUCCGAGGGCACUGCGGUGAGGCCAGGCUGCAGAUGGAGCUGGGGCUCGAGCUCAGGAGCUGGUCUUCCCUGCUGGGGCCGCGACGCCUGCCGCUUUCCUGCCGGCUCUCUGGGUCAAGGCCUGGAAAGGCUUUCUUCUCGGGCUUCUCAUCAGCUUAUUGGCCCAUUUAGCCAGGGCAAAGGUGCAUGACAACUCUGAGCAAGUCAAAACAACCGUCAGCAGCGGGAAACCUCGAUGAACAAACACCGGGAGAGUGCAUUCCCAGGGGAGUUCCAGGAGGCCCAUGGCCCCUCCUGUACAGCCCUCCACCGCCCAGAGCCUUCCAGCGCCGUGUCUUCCCCUUGGAGCAUCUGGAGGCCCCAGACAGCACCCGCCUGACGUUCAGCAGAGGGGGAGACCGAGGCCUGCAGCAGAGUGUUUUGUCAGAUGCUGCUCCCUGACCGGGAGUGAGAGGGAACCCACCUAGAGUUUCUGCAGAUCCUGCUUUGUGACUUCGAGUGAAGUGUGGAAGCGCUGGAAGCACUUAGACCCUGCCUGUGCCGCAGACCCCUGGGAGGCACCAACACCCCGGAUCGAGAAGCCCGAUGGGAAAGAAUGUCUGGGAAGGACGUCAUGCCCGAGGCUUGCGUGACAGUUUCCACUCACAGUGCGCUCACUCUGAACCUCUGUGCACACGAUGGGCCUGCAUCUCUUCCCACUAUCUGCUAGGAAACACGAGGGGAAGGAAAUGACCGCAGAAGGGAGUGCACCGUGGGGGCAGGAGGUGCUGCGGCCAAUGGGCAGUGCUGGGAGAUGAAACCAACAGCGGCGAUUGCCCCAGAAAGAACUUGGCGCUGCUAAGGCAAUGGCGGCCCGAAAGAGGCCCCUGACGCAUGAGGAGCGGCCGC